rnacentral:rRNA from 1 species
UACGGGGGGAGCAAGCGUUGUUCGGAUUUAUUGGGCGUAAAGCGCGCGCAGGCGGUUCGGAAAGUCAGAUGUGAAAUUCCGGGGCUCAACCCCGGAGCUGCAUUGAAACUGAGUGUCUUGAGGGAUGGCGGAGAGAACGGAAUUCCACGUGUAGCGGUGAAAUGCGUAGAUAUGUGGAAGAACACCGGUGGCGAAGGCGGUUCUCUAGCUUAACCCUGACGCUGAGGCGCGAGAGCAUGGGGAUCAAACAGG